rnacentral:rRNA from 1 species
AGUAAUCGUGGAUCAGCAUGCCACGGUGAAUACGUUCCCGGGCCUUGUACACACCGCCCGUCACACCACGAGAGUUUGUAACACCCGAAGUCGGUAGGGUAACCUUUAUGGAGCCAGCCGCCGAAGGUGGGACAGAUAAUUGGGGUGAAGUCGUAACAAGGUAGCCGUAUCGGAAGGUGCGGCUGGAUCACCUCCUUUCUAAGGAA